rnacentral:lncRNA from 1 species
UCUCAGACUGAGGUGAAGGAGGCUUGCAGACAGAGUUACCCGUGCUGCAGGAGCCGACCAUCUGAGUCCACAGACGAUCAUGACAGAAAGGGUUGAGAGCAAAAAGCGCUUCCUAAAGUCUUCUGUGGUAAUCCUGAGAUCUGGCCGUGCCUUACAUCACGCUGUGAGGUCGGCUGCCUUCUUCUGUGAUGAUGAUUUUCCUUCGGAUUUUUGUCUCCAAAUUGCAGUGGGAUCACUUGAGGCUUAUUUGAAGCAAGCAGCAGCUCGGCUUGCUUGGCCUGCAUUGGGUCCCUCUGGGUGCACCCACAGUCAGGAGUGCGGGAUCCCCUCUGCAGAUACCACCCAACCUGACUGCAGACCACUGCCACGUUGUUGGCCGUGUAACACCCUGCUCCCUGUGCUUCUGUUUGCUGUCCUUGCAUGCCCAGUGGCAGUUUUCUCUCUCUCCUCUGGCUUUUUGUGACAAGUCUUUUCCUCCGUGCCUAGAAAAAACAUAAACGCCCACAAAGACAAACAUAGUGCAGAAUUUACAGCCAGAGCAGGUUCCUCAUCUGCAACCACCCUCUCGGACUCCGUCGUUAGCAAACUGCUGAGGUUGGCCUCCCAGGGCCUUGGGCCGGGCUGCUCCAAAGUGCCAGUCACACCAAACCUGUGAUAGCACUUGGGACUAAGGGAGGAUGGCUGGCCCUGCUUGGAGACGUGACCUGGGGGUAAACUGAGGAAGCCAUGGAGAAAGAGCUGAGAAAUCAAGCAUAGAAAAACCUAAACUAAUUUUGGUAGACUGUUGUAAGGGCGUUGAAUUGCCAUGAACUACUCAGCCUGGUAGCACAGCAGCCAGCGCUUCCAUGGGCAAUUGACAAAGUUCAUAUCAUUCUAUAACACAAACUAUGAAGUUCUAGUACAGACUCUAUUGAUGCUAAAUGCUGUACCAGGAUAUGACAGAAAUUGUUCUGCCUCUAAGAGCUGACGUGGUGCUCCUGGAGCUGCCAUGGAAAGAAGGUGAGGAGAACAAGAGCAACAAUGACACGAUUUCUGGGACUGCCUACCAGCACAGCACACCUUCCCACUGAGGGCUUCCUAACACUAAGACUUUACAAGAGAAGCCCUAUGGAAGUGGAUUUGUGGACAAGAGCAGGAGAGGAAACUACAUUUGCAGUAAAUAAAAGCAUCAUUCGCAGAUGUCCUAGCGGUGACCUUGGAAUUUGGAAAUACACAUCUCCUGGACAGUGGCAUCCUUGUGCUACUCAAUGGAAAAAGAAGAGAGUGAUUCUAUGAUUUAGUCUGCCACCUCCUUUUACUGAGAUAGCCUGCUCUGCCCUCCUGCUCCAUCCAAAUUCUCAAGGCUGUUCUGAGUUCUGAACACAUACUACGGUGUGUUUCU